rnacentral:tRNA from 1 species
GUCCCCUUCGUCUAGUGGCCUAGGACACUGCCCUUUCACGGCGGCAACAGGGGUUCGAGUCCCCUAGGGGACGCCA